rnacentral:lncRNA from 1 species
AAAAACUGCAUGGUAUUGGUACAGAGACAGACAGAUAGACCAAUGGAAUAGAAUUGAAGACCCAGAAAUGAACCCACACACCUAUGGCUACUUGAUUUUUGACAAAGGAGCCAAAACCAUCCAAUGGAAAAAAAGAUAGCAUUUUCAGCAAUGGUGCUGCUUCAACUGGAGGUCAGCAUGUAGAAGAAUGCAGGUCGAUCCAUGCUUAUCACCCUGUACAAAGCUUAAGUCCUUGACCCACUUAUGUCAUAAAUUUUCGUAACAGAGCAUGGAAAAUUAUUUGUCUCCACCAUUCAUAAGCUUGAUUAUAAUAAUCUGAAAUAAUAGUAAUUUGAAUAUUUGAACCUAGUGUGUGUUCAUGGGCUAGAAAAUUGAAUAAACUUCUAUGUUCAAAUAUAAUGCUUUGCUAACCAAUAAUAUCUCUUGAGAUACUACAACUACAUACAUAUUAAUUAAUAUUCCUACAAAGUAAAUUACCAUCUUUAUCUGCAUAGCUUCUAUGUGUAGUAGUUGAAUAAACUUGAAUGACAUAUGGAUUGUAUUGCCUAAUUGAAGAUAUGAUGAUUUUUAUAUGAUUUGAUAUUUAGGAAUAAAAGGCAAGCAGUUGUGGAAUAAUUAUCAGUGACUCAGUUGAGAAUGAUUUAAGAUCUAACAGUUUCAAUCCAAAAGAAUUAACACUGUGAAGUAAUGUGCUAUUAUUUUUGGUUUACAGUUUUGUCUUCAUAUAGGCUUAGAAUUACUUACAUAUCAAAUACAGCCAUGUUAUUUCUACUAGAUUAUACUCAUGAGCAAUGAAGGGUCAUAAGACUGUAUGUAGCAUUGUGCAAAUACAUCUGAUUUUGCAUUGAAGAAAUUAAUGGUUUUUUUCUAGAUUUUUUUCUUAAUUUACAAGAUUCUUUGUGUAUUUUAAUGUCAAGAAAUUUAUUGGCACAAUAUACUUAUAUAUUUUAAUUGCAAUCAUCACAUGAUAAGUAUUUCAUUUUCUCCUUCCAAUAAACAUGUAACUCUUUUAUGGU